UACGUAGGGGGCAAGCGUUAUCCAGAUUUACUGGGCGUAAAGCGCGUGUAGGCGGCUGGUUAGGUGUGAUGUGAAAUCUUCCGGCUCAACCGGAAAACUGCAUUGCAAACCGGCCUGGCUAGAGUGCAGGAGAGGGAAGCGGAAUUCCAGGUGUAGCAGUGAAAUGCGUAGAGAUGUGGAGGAACACCGAUGGCGAAGGCAGCCUCCUGGGCCAGCACUGACGCUCAUGCACGAAAGCGUGGGGAGCAAACAGG
rnacentral:rRNA from 1 species